rnacentral:lncRNA from 1 species
AAACUUGAACAUGCCUCCAAAGAAGAGGUACUACUCACAAAGGGUUAAAAAUACUGGAAGUAGGAUGUGCUUCAACAGCAAUUAUCAGAACAGCUAAUUAAGCAAGAUGGUCUGAGCAGCAGGGUAAUGUGGCUGCUCUCCCUCCAACGGAAUCACUAUGCAGUGAAGAGAUGCAUUUUUUUUUUUUUUUCAACUCAGUCAUUACACUUGGUGUGACUUUGGGGCUAGAAAGAAAGAGAAACCCUUAAGUAACAACACAAGCCUAUGGGAAAAGAAGACAGGAUAAGGAGAAGUCAGAUUCAAGUUUUAUCCUCAGAGAAAAGCCUUGAACUCUGCCUUGGGAUUUUGACAUACACUCUGAUAGUUACAGUUCAUGCCAGAGAACUACUGUCAGCCUUCAGCCACAGGAAGGAAGAGAACACACAAAUCCUGAAGAUUAAGCCUCCCGACUUCCCUUGAGCAACUAUGAAAAAGAAAUUUAGCAGUUCAUGUGUCUCCAUGUAGAAGGUACCAGGGAAGAAAGUGGAUGCCUGAGCCAAAGGGUGUCUAGUGAGUGAGAAACAUGGCUGACCUUCUGAGGAGCCACAGUAUGGAGGCAGCAAGAGUGACCCUAAUCUCACCUUAACAGAGCUAUAAGACAAAGGGAGCCUCCCUGCUGUGAACAUGCUGACAGUUGUCCAAGAGGAGGCUGUAUCCACCCUUUCCUACUUUCUUCAACCCUGGAAGAGUGAGACAUAAGAGUCUGAGCCAGAUUGAUGUUCUGGGCAGACAUCACUAUUGUUCCACUCCAGGGAGUCAACGGUACAGCUCAAGCUUGGCUGGUGGGUGAUGGAAGAUGAUAUGAAGACAACAUAAAUUUCACCAUUGAACGUUCAAGCUGGACUGGCUCUUUAAUAUCCCCGGAUGACUGGAAAAUUACAAAAUAUGUCACCAUGCUUGUAAACAGGCAAAGAGGAAAUUCAACAUGGCAUGUUGGGCAGAAAUUUAAGAAAAUAAACCUUUUUAAAAAUUUUCUUGCACUUGUAACCCAUGUUUUGUAACUUAAAAAUUUCUAUAUGAAAACUCUGGUCUUAGGU